rnacentral:rRNA from 1 species
GAUGAACGCUAGCGGCAGGCUAACACAUGCAGUCGAGGGGCAACGAGAUGGUGCAAUCCAUUGUCGGCGACCGGCGAACGGGUGCGUAACGCGUGAACAACUUGCCGGACACAGGGGGAUAAUCGUCGGAAACGUCGUCUAAUAUCCCAUAACAUUGACAUGGGCAUCCAUGUUGAUUGAAAGCAAUUAUGCGGUGUCUGAUAGGUUCGCGUGACAUUAGCUAGUCGGUGGGGCAACGGCCCACCGAGGCGACGAUGUCUAGGGGUUCUGAGAGGAAGGCCCCCCACACUGGGACUGAGACACGGCCCAGACUCCUACGGGAGGCAGCAGUGAGGGAUAUUGGACAAUGGGCGGAAGCCUGAUCCAGCCAUCCGCGUGAAGGACUAAGGCCCUAUGGGUCGUAAACUUCUUUUGACGCAGAGCAAUAAGGGACACGUGUGUUUCCGAUGAGAGUAUGCGUCGAAUAGUCGGCUAACUCC